rnacentral:misc_RNA from 1 species
GUGAGUCAUCGAAUCUUUGAACGCACAUUGCGCCCCCUGGUAUUCCGGGGGGCAUGCCUGUCCGAGCGUCAUUACAACCCUCAAGCCUAGCUUGGUGUUGGGCCCCGCCGCCUGGCGGGCCCUAAAGUCAGUGGCGGUGCCGCCCGGCCCCGAGCGCAGUAACUCUUCUCGCUCUGGAGGCCUGGGCGCGUGCCUGCCAACAACCCCCCAUUUCUUCAGGUUGACCUCGGAUCAGGUAGGGAUACCCGCUGAACUUAAGCAUAUCAAUAAGCGGAGGA